UGGCUAAAUUGGUAGAGCAUGGUGUUUGCAACGCCAGGGUUGUGGGUUCGAUUCCCAC
rnacentral:tRNA from 1 species